UCAAUUCAGGUCAGUGGACUUGUCAAUUCAGAAAUAGCUGUUAAGACCUCCUGGAAAUAUAUUAUCUUCAAAAUGUCCCCAGUUAGCUACAUUGCAGUGAAUUUAAUAUAUAAAACAUUAAAAAAUAUAAAAUUUUAAUACUUUUGUUGGUGUUAAUUAUACUUCAUAAUCAAAAUUGAAAUCAAAUUAAGACUGCUGAUGUGGCGGUUGACAUGACAUGAAUAUUAAUAUUUUAAUAUUAUAUUAGAAUUAAAUUAUACUAAUAUAAAUAAUGUAUAUUAUUUACUAAGUUUAUUUAUUAUAAUAUAUAAAAAAUAAAUAAAUAAAUAUAUUAAGUUUUUAUUUAUUAAAUAGUACUAAUAUAAAUAAUGCAUUAUAUUUACUUAAUUUAUUUAUUAUAAUAUAUAAAAAUAAAUAAAUAUAUUAAAUUUAACCAUUAUAAAUAAAUAAAUAAUACUAAAAUAAAUAAUUUAUUUGACCACUCGAUUUUUUCUUUGACCACUGUAAAUUAAAUUUUUUAAAUAUUUCAAACAAUAAAAAAUAUAUAAAAAUAUUAUUUAAAAAUUAUUUUUUAUAAAACAAACGGAGGCUUAGAUUGUUUUCAUAUUUUUUUAAUCCUCUCCUUUUCCUUCUUUCAUAUCAUAUUUUUGUUAUUGAACUUAAGUUAUAAUUUAUAAACGUCAUGUGUGUCAGCAGAUUUUGUCUAUUUAUUUUUCAGUUAUGAUUUUUGUCUUGAUUAAAUAAGAUAUUGAAUAUGAGAUAUUUAUUUCGUAAUAAUAGUAUAAUUUUAAUACUUUUUCGUCCUAUAAUUUUUAUUUAUUUUAUCUUUUUAUACAUAUUAAGAAAUAUAAUUUUUUAUUUACUUUUUAAUUAUAUAAAUUUUAAAUAUAUUAAAUUUUAUUAAAUAUUAAAAAAUAUUUUUCAUUGCAGGAUGUGUAUGUUGUUGGAGGACACAUUAGCAGCAGCAAUUUAGACAAGGGAAAUGUGUUGACCAUCCAUUCUAAUGAAUAUACAGAAAUGAACAUGUUUCUUGAUCCCUUGCUGCAAAGACAGUUUUUGAGUCACCCCCAAAUAUCAACGCCCAACGCAAAACAAAUUCAUUUUCUAAGAUCCUGCAAAAGCUGAGGAAGACAAACAGUACACUAGAGGCGUCGUUUGCCCUCCAUUUUCUGUCAAGGCUUUAUCGUUGCAACAAACUCAUCACAGAUAUAAUCAUUGAAGAACCAAAAAAAAUUUUCACCGCAUAACACGACUGCAGAACUUCUCCAUCAGAUAAUUCGAUAAAUUGAUAUAUUAAUUUUAGAUUUAUUUUAAAUUUUAUGAAUAUUGUUAAGUAUUAUGAACAUGAAUUAUAAUUUUAUUAUGAAUGAUGUUUGAUUUAUAUUAAAUAUGAUUUUUAAUUAUAAAUUAUUUAAUUACAUAGGAAAUAUCUAAAUAAAAGCAAAAAAUUAUUUUUUUUAUCGAAUUUUACGGAUUAGCAAUGGAUUUAUAAGAAAUUUUUGUUAAAAAUGUAAUAAUAUUGCAACGGAUUUCCAACAGAAAUUUUCUAUCGCUAAUUAUCUGUUGAAAUAGAUUAGCGACGGAUUAAUUGGGAACAAUUGUAAACUCAAUUGUAAACUCAAUUUGAUAUUAAGAUCAGAAAUUGAAAAUUUAUAUAUAAUAAUGCGCUUUAAAAAUAUUUUAUGCACAUGAUAUUCCCAUUGAAGAUCUGAAAUUUAAAUUACCAAAAAAUUGUAUAAUUUACCCCUUACAUUUUCACUUAAAGUCAAAUUACCCUUCAACUGUAUUUUUAUCAUAUUUAUCAUUUUAAUAUUAAAAUUCGUAAUAAAAAUUAAAUUAUUCUACCAUUUAAAAGUUUAAAGGUUAAAGAGAUUAGAUAAAAAAUAAAAUAAAAUUAAGGAUAAAACACUUUUUUUUUUAUAAAAAAGUGAACGAGAAAAUUAUAAAUUUAAUUUUUAAAUUUUAUACCCAUAACAUGACAUUCAAAACUGAUAAAUUCAAGGUUAAAAACAUUUAUAUUAUUAAAAGAAAAAAAAAAAAGAAAAAAAGGAUGUGAAUGUUGAUCCUUUCUUGCCUUAUCGUGUGGGUGUAUAUAUUGAUGGAUUGAAAUGGCUCACCAAGUCUCCAUUUUCUUCUUUAUUUCCAACGCAGAAGAUGAGAAUUUUCAUUCUCAGCUGGAGAUUGCUGUGGGAUUAGAAUCGAACCCAGACGCCAUUUUUUCUGCAACUGAAGGAAAGCAACAGUCUUGAGAUAACCAAGAAGCUGCAUUAUUGCUCCAAGGAGACUCCAUAACCACCAACAGAAGAUACAGGCAAACAAAUACAAAGAUUGCAGAAGAAACACACAUCUCCUCUGAGAAACUUGAAGCCACCAUUUCCAUUGACAUGUAUAGAGAGAGAGAACUGAAGAUGAGAGAAAAUGGAAAUCCUUACUUGUUAAUUAUAGGAGAAAAUGAGAAGGGGAAGUUCAAUGUAUGAAGAAAGAUUAUUAACAGUGAAAAAAGAAGAGAUGGG
rnacentral:lncRNA from 1 species